CCAGCAGCCGCGGUAAUACGUAGGGUGCGAGCGUUAAUCGGAUUUACUGGGCGUAAAGCGUGCGCAGGCGGCCCGUUAAGACAGGUGUGAAAUCCCUGGGCUCAACCUAGGAAUUGCGCUUGUGACUGGCGGGCUCGAGUACGGUAGAGGGGGGUGGAAUUCCUGGUGUAGCAGUGAAAUGCGUAGAGAUCAGGAGGAACACCGAUGGCGAAGGCAGCCCCCUGGGCCUGUACUGACGCUCAUGCACGAAAGCGUGGGGAGCAAACAGGAUUAGAUACCCUGGUAGUCCACGCCCUAAACGAUGGGUACUAGCCGUUUGGUGCGCGAUAGCGCUGAGUGGCGAAGCUAACGCGUGAAGUACCCCGCCUGGGGAGUACGGCCGCAAGGUUGAAACUUAAAGGAAUUGGCGGG
rnacentral:rRNA from 1 species